rnacentral:lncRNA from 1 species
CCUGAGACCUCACAAAACUAUGCAACAUUCUGAUAACUGUCCCACAUUUAACAUGGCCCCCAAGUGGUCAUCAGAAUGACAAAUUACCCUUCAAUGAUGUAAAUUCUAAGCACUAUAGAAAAUCUCUAAGUUCAAUUAAAUAAUUUAUAAAGUACAAGGUUCGUUUAACAAGUCACUUCUGUGUAUAAUUAUAAAAUUUUACCAGAAAGUGCAUAUGAAUAUAUAUGUCUUGUUGUACACACAUGCAAAAAUAUGUACUGACUCUGUAUUUGGGAUGUCUGUAUCCUAGAAAUGUUUUCAUUAGCACCCCCAUACAGCAGCACCCCUCACUUGAUUAAUAAGGAUUUUAAAUGUCUUUAAAGUACCUGAGGUGUUACUGGCUUAAUUAUUAGAAACUGGGACCAAAACUGGCUUAGGUUAUUAUUAUUUUUAACUAUACCUCACAUAGUACUCACAUUAUGACUUGUUCCUUUUCUCUGUGUUUUUUUCUGGAACUAUAUUCCUUCACACACUCGCUUCAUCCCCAGAUUGAAAUGAAGGCAGUGACAACAAAUUCAACCAUUGGAUCCAAAUGUAAUAACACUGUCCAAAGAAAAAAACAUGACCAUGUUUUUCCAUAUCUCUCCACCAGAUCCUUCCAGAACACCUCUUUUGUGGUUUGAAUGAGAAAUUACACUCAUGGGCUCAUGCAUUUGAACACCUAGUCCCUGGUUGGUGGUCCAGUCCGGCUAUGGAACCUUUAGGAGGUGGACAGAGCCAUGUUGGAGAAAGUCAUUGGGGUAGUCAUUGUGAGUUCAUAAGCCUAUAUUUCACUUCCUGUUUACUUCCUGGUAGACAGAUAUUAUGUGCUUCUUCAGCUUCCUGCUCUAGCUGCCUGCCUACCAUUGUGAGCAGAGAAGAGUACCAUGGAUGAGAAGAUGCUAUUCAGAGGACAGAAGCCAGCACACAGGUAACAACCACAAGCCAAAGAAUGAAUGCAAAGGAUAGCUUUCAACAAGAAAGGAAAGAAAACUUUGCACAGUUCUGCUGCAGGAGCCUCCCCAGGAAACUAGGCCUGCACACUUAAAUAUUCCAAAAACCAAGAGAGACUCCACUAAUUUCUGUUCUUUUCUACCAUCCAGUUGUGGGUGAUUUCCUACAGUAGCCUGAGAAAACUAACACAGCCCCCCAAUUUUUUUCCUUAUAUUCCUUGUUUGGCCAUGUGUUCAUUUGUUUCUAAACUAAUCACAUGGAAGGAAACUGAUCAACACCCCUAAUUCAGAUGAGUCAUUUGUGGCAGAAGGCAUUGUGUGAAUAUGGGGGUCAAUCACAAGGAACAAACCUGUCACAUUUGCUCUCUUUUUCCUUUUUCCUUCAUAUGUUCAAUCAAAAACAUCUGUAGACUUUGCCUUGCAAAGGUCUUUGUGUAUGCAUAUUUAUUUUUUGAAUUUUCGAUACUUCAAAGCAUUGUGAUACCAUUUGAGAGAGGGGGGAAAAAACAUGUGCAGAAGUAUUUUUAGUAUUUGGUACACACUGGAAUUUAUGUUCUGCAUAAAUCAAUAUGUUGACAUUCUAACCCUCAUGAUUAUUAGCAGGUAGGGCCUUUGCCAGGUUACUGAGAUACGAUGGCUUUCUUGUCCUGACUGCUACAGUGUCUCUAUAAGAAGAAUGCAUGAAGUCAACUCUACCAGCACCUCACAGUCUCUAGCUCAAAGGAGGCAUUGGCAGAGUUUGAUUCUGCUAAAACUCAGACCUCAGACUUCCAGCUUCCAGAGCGGCGAGGAACGAAAUUCUACUGCCUAUCAGCCACCCUGUCUGUGUUGGUUUGCUACAGUAGCUCAAAUGUUUGGGGGUGCCACACAUUGCCCAUUAACUGUUGUUCACGACCUCACAAAUAGGUGAUUAUUUUUACUCUUUUCUCAUACACUGUCCAAAUGUUUCUAGAUGAAAAUGUUUCUGUAUUGUUAUGGGUGCCUUGCCUGCACAUAAUGUGUUCCUUGC